GGGCUCGCUUUGGCAGCACAAAUACAAAAAUUGGAACCAUACAGAGAAGUUAGCAUGGCCGUUGCGUAAAGAUGACAUACAAAUUUGUGAAACAUUCCACGUUUUU
rnacentral:snRNA from 1 species